rnacentral:lncRNA from 1 species
GUCUGCAUUUCCAUGCUCAUCAAACACCUGUGCAGACUGUCUCUGAUUUGCAACUUGCUUCAGAUUGUGUCUCAGAUAUUAACCCCGGAUGUGACAAUAUAAGCUCAACAGACUGCCUUGGCCACCUUAGCAGACUCCUCACUGCGGUCAGAGCCUGCAGCCUCUCCCUACUCCCACUGGUCCUUGGCCAGCAGCUCCUGACACCCAGAGGAUUCAGCUUGGGUUUUCAGAAUCAAGAUAUUCUCAUAGAGACUGGGUCUGCAGCAGGAGAACCAAAGAACAUCUCCUAGCAUUCAUCUUCAGGACCACUGAAGAAAUAAAGCCCUAGAAGGAACAAUGGGUACACCUUGCCCAGGUUUGGCUUGAAAGAGAACUAUUUUCUGGAAGAAAACACAAGAUUACCUAUAACUAUUUCUGCUUUGGGGACACCUGCUCUGUGCCAAG